UACGUAGGGGCCAAGCGUUAUCCGGAUUUACUGGGCGUAAAGCGCAUGUAGGCGGUCGAUCAAGUCGGAUGUGAAAGCUCCUGGCUUAACUGGGAGAGGUCAUUCGAAACUAGUCGGCUGGAGGGUGGUAGAGGAGAGCGGAAUUCCAGGUGUAGCGGUGAAAUGCGUAGAUAUCUGGAGGAACACCAGUGGCGAAAGCGGCUCUCUGGACCAUUCCUGACGCUGAGAUGCGAAAGCCAGGGGAGAGAACGGGAUUAGAAACCCUGGUAUUCCUGGCCGUAAACGAUGUCAACUAGGCGUAGGAGGUUAUUGACCCCUUCUGUGCUGUAGCUAACGCGUUAAGUUGGCCGCCUGGGGACUACGGCCGCAAGGCUAAA
rnacentral:rRNA from 1 species